rnacentral:rRNA from 1 species
AGGAUGAACGCUGGCGGCGUGCUUAACACAUGCAAGUCGAACGAUGAACCUCGCUUGCGGGGGGAUUAGUGGCGAACGGGUGAGUAACACGUGAGUAACCUGCCCUUAACUCUGGGAUAAGCCUUGGAAACGAGGUCUAAUACUGGAUAUUGACUUUUCCUCGCAUGGGGAUUGGUUGAAAGAUUUAUUGGUUUUGGAUGGACUCGCGGCCUAUCAGCUUGUUGGUGAGGUAAUGGCUCACCAAGGCGACGACGGGUAGCCGGCCUGAGAGGGUGACCGGCCACACUGGGACUGAGACACGGCCCAGACUCCUACGGGAGGCAGCAGUGGGGAAUAUUGGACAAUGGGCGAAAGCCUGAUCCAGCAAUGCCGCGUGAGUGAUGAAGGCCUUAGGGUUGUAAAGCUCUUUACCCGGAAGAUAAUGACUGUACCGGAGAAGUAAGCUCCGGCUAACUCCGUGCCAGCAGCCGC